rnacentral:rRNA from 1 species
AGAGUUUGAUCCUGGCUCAGAAUCAACGCUGGCGGCGUGCCUCAGACAUGCAAGUCGAACGAUUAAAGCCCUCUUCGAGGGUGCAUAAAGUGGCGCACGGGUGAGUAACACGUAAGUAAUCUACCUUCGAGUGGGGAAUAACGUUCGGAAACGAACGCUAAUACCGCAUAAUGCAGCGGCAUCGCAAGAUGACAGUUGUUAAAGAUUUAUCGCUUGAAGAGGAGCUUGCGGCAGAUUAGCUAGUUGGUAAGGUAACGGCUUACCAAGGCGACGAUCUGUAUCCGGUCUAAGGGGACGGUCGGACACACUGACACUGAAUAACGGGUCAGACUCCUACGGGAGGCAGCAGUCGGGAAUUUUGGGCAAUGGGCGAAAGCCUGACCCAGCAACGCCGCGUGAAGGAUGAAGUCUUUCGGGAUGUAAACUUCGUAAGAAUAGGAAGAAUAAAUGACGGUACUAUUUGUAAGGUCCGGCUAACUACGUGCCAGCAGCCGCGGUAAUAC